UGCAGACAAAAAUGCAAUUUAUCAUUUGAGAAUCAGUGCACAUAAAUUAGAUGCUUUAUUCAAUGAUGCUAGAAGAAAAUUUGAAAUGAUGAAAAAGCUAAAUUCAAGCUCACUUAAACACUAUACCUUAUUGCAAGACAAGCUAUCAAGUGUUAAUCAACAGUUGUCUAAGUGUGAAGGAUCUACAAAGAACUACCAAAAUUUAUUGUAUGUUUUAGAUGAAAUUGAGAUAAGCUGCAAAGAUAAGGAGAGAAGUAUGCCAACAAUUUCUGAAUGCAA